rnacentral:misc_RNA from 1 species
AUUGUGAAAUUUAUGUCUCGGCCUGUAAGCUCCACCCACUUCUUCCUUUCUUCUUCGUCAACAUUCAUGAUUUUGGGUGAUCUAACAAUUUCUAUACCAUGAACACAUUGAGGGUUAGAGAGACCCCGGUAAUGCUUCCUCUGCAUCUUAUGAGACCGAACAAAGCCCUUAUCAACACUGAAUGGAAAUGGGCGCUCACCUUGGCGAGAGUGCCCAUUCAUGUAACUUCUCAGCUGCAUCUUACCCAAAGCAUUUUCAGGCCUUUCCUUGAAAACCCACAUAUACAU